rnacentral:rRNA from 1 species
GAUGAACGCUAGCUACAGGCUUAACACAUGCAAGUCGAGGGGAAACGACAUCGAAAGCUUGCUUUUGAUGGGCGUCGACCGGCGCACGGGUGAGUAACGCGUAUCCAACCUGCCCAUCACUUGGGAAUAACCUUGCGAAAGUAAGACUAAUACCCAAUGAUAUCCCACGAAGGCAUCGGAAUGGGAUUAAAGAUUUAUCGGUGAUGGAUGGGGAUGCGUCUGAUUAGCUUGUUGGCGGGGUAACGGCCCACCAAGGCAACGAUCAGUAGGGGUUCUGAGAGGAAGGUCCCCCACAUUGGAACUGAGACACGGUCCAAACUCCUACGGGAGGCAGCAGUGAGGAAUAUUGGGAAAUGGGCGAGAGCCUGAACCAGCCAAGUAGCGUGCAGGAAGACGGCCCUAUGGGUUGUAAACUGCUUUUAUAAGGGAAUAAAGUGGGUCACGUGUGACUUUUUGCAUGUACCUUAUGAAUAAGGACCGGCUAAUUCCGUG